UACAGAGGGUGCAAGCGUUGUUCGGAAUUAUUGGGCGUAAAGGGCGCGUAGGCGGCCAUCUAAGUCAGACGUGAAAUCCCCCGGCUUAACCUGGGAACUGCGUCUGAUACUGGACGGCUUGAGUUUGGGAGAGGGAUGCAGAAUUCCAGGUGUAGCGGUGAAAUGCGUAGAUAUCUGGAGGAAUACCGGUGGCGAAGGCGGCAUCCUGGACCAACACUGACGCUGAUGCGCGAAAGCUAGGGGAGCAAACGGG
rnacentral:rRNA from 1 species